CUGGGCUGUGGGACUUGGUCAGUGGA
rnacentral:piRNA from 1 species